GAUACCGCCCUAGUUCUAACCAUAAACUAUGCCAACCAGCGAUCCGCCUGGGUUCCUCAAAUGACUCGGCGGGCAGCUUCCGGGAAACCAAAGUGUUUGGGUUCCGGGGGAAGUAUGGUUGCAAAGCUGAAACUUAAAGGAAUUGACGGAAGGGCACCACAAGAAGUGGAGCCUGCGGCUUAAUUUGACUCAACACGGGAAAACUUACCCGGCCCGGACACUGGAAGGAUUGACAGAUUAAGAGCUCUUUCUUGAUUCAGUGGGUGGUGGUGCAUGGCCGUUCUUAGUUGGUGGAGCGAUUUGUCUGGUUAAUUCCGUUAACGAGCGAGACUCCCAUCUACCAAGUAGCCGAUCCCAUCCCUUGCGUGGGACGGUCUUCUUAGAGAGAGAAGCGGCGUUUAGCCGCACGAAACGGAGCAAUAACAGGUCUGUGAUGCCCUUAGAUGUCCGGGGCCGCACGCGCGCUACACUGAAGGAAUCAGCGUGUGCUCUCCCUGUCCGGUAGGACUGGGUAACCCGUGGAACCUCCUUCGUGAUGGGGAUAGGGGCUUGUAAUUGUUCCCCUUGAACGAGGAAUUCCUAGUAAGCGCGAGUCAUAAGCUCGUGUUGAUUACGUCCCUGCCCUUUGUCCACACCGCCCGUCGCUACUACCGAU
rnacentral:rRNA from 1 species